ACCCAGCCUCCAUUCAAUUCAAAUCCUCCCGAACCGAGGGCAAAAAAACAGCAGGCGAUGGCGACACCGCGAAACGCAACGCCGCCGCGAAUGAUUGGGAGUGGGAGGGAUCGCGUGAGCGCGGCGCGUACGGGGGGAGUGUACGCGACGCGACGUGGUGCCAUGCGGGAGCCGGGAGGUAAGAUGAUGACAAGCGGAAGCGGGCCGCGACAAGAUCCACGAUCCUAGGAGGCGCCGGUACAUGAUCGCCCCCCCUUUCCCUGCCUGGAUUUUUGUUCGCUUCGCAUCCCCGCCCCGCGCCCUUGUCUCUACCUGCUUGGAUCUCGCCAGAUUCCUGCCCCAAUCAUAUGGCGGGGGUCGCCCCCGUCGGCCCGCCCUCCCUAGGGCGGCUGUAUCUUCUUCCUUCCUGACUGUUGCUGCGCCCUGCAGCGGCGCGAGGUGCAGCCGCCGAGAUAAAGGGGAGUGGGGUUACCGAUUUCUGCGAAAGUUAGGGCCAAUUUUGCGCCGAACUGAGCCGAUUGUGCCCCGGUCGAAGGAUGCACUGUAGUGUAGGAUCUACGGGCAUGAUGCUUUCGGCCUUUUGCGGAGGCAGCCAUUGCUCGUUCCGCCAAUGUAUACUGCUUACUUUUCCUGAUCACGCGGACAAACCGAAUGCGACUUACCAGUUACAUAUCCAUAUCCUGUCCAUCGUGGCGCUUGCGGGGCCAUACAUUUCAUUUGAUUUUGCCGUGCAGAUAAUUUGUAGUGUUACUAUUAGAUUUUGGGAGUAGUAAAUAAUAACAAUGUAGUAAGUUGUCUUAAAAGGGUAUGGUAACAUUAAUUCAUUCCGAAACUCUCUGAUCACUACAUUGCCUCCAGUGAUUUGUUCAGCAUUACUAGCUUGCAAGCAUUCAUGUAUCCGAGUGCUGCCUUUAUCUGCAAAACUACAGGCCCCUAACUGUAAGCAAACACAUGUGCACUGACAAAAGGAGUCAGAAUCACAAAUUUGAGGGGCCCCGGGUUUGUUCCCUAAACUUGCUUAAUAGGAUUAUCAGACUGAAGCAUUGGGGGUGACAUGCAAUGGAAACAGAAAAUCCAUUUAGUUGAUUUGGCUUAAAUAUCAAACUGCUCACUCUGUUAGAACCCUCAUUAGUGGAAUAUGACUGGAGCUGAUAGGCAUGCCUUUAAGAUUCAUAUGUAUUGACUGUACCUUAUUAUUAUUAUUAUCAUGGCACCCUCUGUAGAAUAGUUCGAUGAUGCUUGGCUGCUGUUUCUGUGGUUACCGUUUGCUAUUCCUGAGAUUAUAAAAUGAUGAGUUCAGUUCUGUAGUUCUUAAAUUAGUUACACAUGGUCGCAGAAGGCGAAGCAUUCAAGUCAGGUGUAUUUGAUUAACUUAUUUGGCGUACCAUUAGCUCACAUAGUAAGGUCGAAAAAAUCUCCUAAAAAAUAAGGUAAUGAGUGACAUGCAGAAGAUCUCAAGGAAAAUAACUAUGGCAGGUGAUAUUGAACUAGUAGAUUAGAGGACGGGAAGCCUAAGUUCUCGGAUCCUGCACGAUUAAGAAUGAUUUUUAUGACAGUAGAUUGAUGGGGAGGAAAAUAAUAUUUAUGUUGCACCUGUGAUUUUGAGUGCGUGGAAGUGUGUUAUGUUGCUAGGAGAAAGAAUCAGGUGUUAAGUGGUGGGGAUUGAAAUAUUAAAAAUGUUUUAUGGGAUGACAAGGGGAAUGGUGACAGGACUGCAUCCUUCUUAUCAGAAGAUAGGCAUGGGACUGGAAAGGCAGAAGUGAAAGACUGUGAUAUGCCUGGAGAUUAAACUGCUCUCAAAUAACCUGUACAUGAACUGAUGAUUUCUCUCUGUUACCAGUUAAAUGCCUUUGUCUAAUUCUGGUACUAGUAUUCAUGUAGAAUCUACAUACCUUGUCCAUGUGAAGUCGAUAACUCAAGAGAUAAUUCCAGAUCACAUAGCCUAGUAGUAAAAGAUUUCACUGUUAAGUACACUUAUCUGUCUUUAUGGAAAUUGAAUAUGCUAAUUUUACUACAUUCUGAACUUGACAACAUGAAUAAUCAAUACAUUAACAGUAUUUGACAAAUACCAACUUUCCAUGCAUCGAGCAGCUGGCUACUUUCUUUCUUCUUCUUCUUCUUUUUUUCAAAAAUGCUGAGAUUACUGUAUUACUGGACUGCAUCAAUCACACUUUUGCUUUUAUGUGGCCAGCAUGGCAACUCCUUGACUCAGCUCAAGUUGAUCCUUCAGCUGCAGAGGGCAAAUCAGUUAGUUUCUAUGAGGAAGUGAGUUUUACAGUGCAAUACUGAGAUAGGGCUGUACAAAAUAGGGUAUUGGCUGUGCUGCAGCCAGAGCUAUAACCCCUUAAAUCACAACUGCAUUUGAAAUUUGGGAUAAAGCGGAUGUAAGCAGGGAUGAAAGCAGAGCAGUCAUCACAGGUUCAGAUCCAGUAAACAUACUCAUUACUGAAUUUGAAUACCAAAAAAUGCUGGGCUAGCAUGGGCCUGAAGUAUGUUCUGCCAUCAGCCAUGCUUACAGCGAUAAUAUGGUCCUCACUCCCGAUAUCAUGCACGGUUGUUGUGCAAUAGGCAUUCAUUGACAGCUUUGUGUUUAGCUGUUCUUAUGUAAUUGCAGUGACUUACCAAUUAUUUGCCUUAGGCAAACAGUGGCAUAUUGAUGAGUUGGUGUCAGGCUUCAGAUAGAUAUAUCUGCUUCAUUUACCUUCUGCAUACUCAUGUAUGAUAUAUCUGGACUGUUCUUGCUCUUAAAUGACUUCUUUAUUCCAUGAGCCUAUCCAUGCCAGACUACAGGAAGUACAGUUCAUGUUAUAAGUUCAAGGUGGUAAUACCUUUGUGCUGGUUGAACCUGCCACAAUAAGGAGGAUUGGAGAAAUGGCCAGUGCAGUAAGCUAGUAACUAAGUUGGCCACAUUUCUAUUGGCCUAAAGUCCCAGACUACCAGCCCACCGUUCCCUGUUACACACGUGGUAUUGCACUUUUAGAAAAGAGGAGCAGAAUAAUGUGAAUGACAUGUGAUGGCUUGGAUUUAUGGAUGAAAUGGCAUCGUCAAGGUGCCUGCUCUUGCAUCUGACACAACAGGUAGAGGAGCAACUGACUUGCUUUGAGGGCCAUAAAAGCUGAAAGGACUCCAAUCAUCAUGAAGCAGCUUAGCGCGCUGCUGCUGUCUACUACUCCCCCAGCAUAUUAGCACAAUUCAAGGAUGACAAGGGCUACAAGAAUUUGGAUAAAUAAUGUGGCACGAAGACUGAAUACCUUUAUUGAUUGUUGUAAGAAAGAAGGUUCCUAGAGAUUCACAUAGUUGACUAGCAGAUGAGAGGUGGAGAUUAUUGGUGAGAUGUAUAAGCAGCUGUGGGUUGCCCCUAGUAGGGGAACCUGAUUGCACAAAUCAACAAAUAAAAGGAAAAAGGUGGGUAGAAAUGAAGCGACAGCACUAAAGGAGUUAGGCAAUAUCUUGUGGGUAAGGAUGCGCAACGCAAUGAGGUGUUGGAUGUUGUGCAGCCAUGAGUUUUCCCCUUGCCCAAUUGGCCUUGGGAAGAAGAGAAAGGCAUUUGAUGGAGGCAGCUACCUCAGGUGGGAAGAAGAGCCUGCGCUCCACCUGGCCAGUGCAGUACUGCAGUGGCUGGCUGCUGCAUGUAUGCUCUGUCAAUGCCUUUGCCUUUUUUCACGAAAGAGGUAAAAAGGAGCUCUGCAUGCUGGCAACUAUACCUACACUACUACGUAUCGGCAUCAUGCUCAGGAACAGUCCAUUGGGGUAGAGAGUGUAAAAAUCGUUGUGCAAAUGCACACUGACACCCCGCCGAUCAAUGAUUGGAGUAGUAGGCAUAUGGUAGGUGCUUUGGGUUUUCAUUACCUCUGGACGGCGGCUUUCUUGUGCUAUGGGAGUACACUGUGGUUUCCGCAGCUUGUGCCCCUGAUUCUUUGAAGUUUUAUUAACACAAAGCAGCAGCACGAGUCCAACAAACCACAGUCCACAUAUCAGUCUACUGAGCAGCAUCAGUCUUGGCUAUAUAUCUCUAAAUUCUGGAGGCCUACUAAGACAUUCUACUGGCAAGGCAAGACAACGAUGGCUGUAUGGAAACCUGCAGAUUGUUUAAUCCCGUCAGAACUGAUCCCAAGAGCAGCGCGCCUGCCUGUCGCAAGUAGUACUGCUCCCCCACAACCAGUGGAGUGGAGUGGCCAAUCCAGCAGCAUUUGCAGCUACAGGUGGGCAAUCCCAUUUCACGCAUGCAAUGCGGUGUGGCAGCGCUGCUGUGCCGGUGCCGGUGCCGGCCAGCGCAGUCUGACAGGGGAGAGGAGAUGAACAGUUGCGGAAGGCCCGAGCGCCACCACCACCACCAUCACGACAGGGCCAGGCCCCCCACCACUCCUCGCCGCGGUCCGAUGCAGCAGCACCUUUAUGGGGAGGAGGCGAGCCUCAUCGGCCGCUACAGUUCUGGUCCUCUGGUCGGCCCGCGGCCGGUGACAGCUUGGCCGGCGGGGCACCGUGCCGUAGUACUCGUACGUUGCCUUUGGGCGCAAACACAUUUGAUGCCCUCGCAGGCAGAGAGGUGGCAAGGCAAUGAAUGAAUUGAAGCUGCUGCUGAUGGGGGUGGUGGCGCUGCUGGCACAUCACAGCACACCCUGAUGAUUUCCUACGCCGUCCGUCGCUGUGAUCAGAUCAGCCUGGUUGGUUAUCUAUCCACAGUGGCUCCACUUUCUUGGCUGCCGCCGUCUGUCUAUGGCACUGGCACACCGUUUGUUCCCUCUGCAAGGCACUCUUAAAUGGCCAGCACCCAGCAGGGCACCCAUCUCUUCCUUUAAUGGCUUCUGGCUGCAUCGCAAAGAGGACCACAGAGGAGGGAGACAGACGAGAGAACAAUGACAGGGAAGUAAACAGACGCACUGUGGCGCCACGAUCCUAACAUCAUGCAUGCAUCUCCAUGAACGCCUGCAUUCCCCUUUCCUGGCGCUCUCUUUUCCCUGCUCACCUUUUCCUCCCAUGUAUCAUCAUAAAAAAAAAA